rnacentral:rRNA from 1 species
GAGUUUGAUCAUGGCUCAGAUUGAACGCUGGCGGCAUGCCUUACACAUGCAAGUCGAACGGCAGCAUGAUCUAGCUUGCUAGAUUGAUGGCGAGUGGCGAACGGGUGAGUAAUACAUCGGAACGUGCCCUGUAGUGGGGGAUAACUAGUCGAAAGAUUAGCUAAUACCGCAUACGACCUGAGGGUGAAAGUGGGGGACCGCAAGGCCUCAUGCUAUAGGAGCGGCCGAUGUCUGAUUAGCUAGUUGGUGGGGUAAAGGCCCACCAAGGCGACGAUCAGUAGCUGGUCUGAGAGGACGAUCAGCCACACUGGGACUGAGACACGGCCCAGACUCCUACGGGAGGCAGCAGUGGGGAAUUUUGGACAAUGGGCGAAAGCCUGAUCCAGCAAUGCCGCGUGUGUGAAGAAGGCCUUCGGUU